rnacentral:ribozyme from 1 species
UGCUCAGCAACUCAUAUCCCUACCUCCUCGUGGUGCUGGGGUUGGGGUACGGCCAACCUUAAGGAAGAUCGGAUAACCAAACCCGUAGGGAACUUUGGUCGUAUGCUGACAGGGAGAG